GGGUGGUGGGGAUUCCAUUCAAGGGACACCUCGGUAGCAGCCACCUGGCCACGACAGCGUCCGCGUCCCAGACUCUGCCCGACUCCGGGCUCGUCCGAACUCGGGCAUAACCUAGAAAGCCAUCUUCGCAUUCCCAGAAUGACUUCCCCAGCUGAGGAAUUCGGCGUUCAGGGUUGCGGCUUUCUUCUGUGCUUUUAUGAGAGCCCCCGCUCAAGGCAUCUUCUACAAUUUGUUGAGUUGGAAGAGAAACAAGGCAAAUGGCAGGAAAAUCAAAUGAGAUCAUGACUUCACCAGAGCAAAACCGAGAUCCCUCGCCCCCAGUGAAAGCAAACAAAAGCUGGAAGAGAACGAGUUCGACCUGAUCUCCUCCGCCUUCUCCACCCCCAUCUCCAGGCCCAGACCCGGAGACGCCGGGGUUCAGAGGGGAGACUCAGAGUCCCAGAGCGCCCUCCACCCCGAGAAAGACCCAGAGCUGCCCUUGGGAUUCCAGGACAAGGAACCAGAGGAGUGUCCUCUAAGGAGGCUGCUGGGCGGGAUCACGAUAAGCGUCCAGGGACCGUGCCCUCCAGCUCCGCUGCUCCACCCAUGGCCAUCUGGGACUUGCUGGGACCAACAAAUUGAGGCAGACGUGGUGGCCCUCCAGCUUCGGAACCAUCGUUCACCCUGCAUCUGUCUUUGCUUUCACGUUCUUGGAAUCUCAAGACCUCAGAGGGUGAAGAGGGGGCCAGCCUCCUAGAAGAUGGACGGGAGCCAUGGCACCUGAGCCGGAGCCAGACUGCUGCUGGCCACGCGAGGGCAGCCAUCUGGACCCUCCAGCCCUCGUCGAGUGGUCAGGUGACCACGGUCACACGCAUGAGCCCAGGAGAGGCCAGCAGAACCACCCAGUGUGCCAGUAAGACACGACCAGCUGGCCCUUUCCUGGAGCCAUCAAGGCUUGGGUGGUUUGUUACACAGCAGCUAGAGCUCCAAUCAUUGUUAACACAGUGAAAGCGGAGGCUCGGCCUUGAAACCACAGCCGUAAAGAGGAUUCCAGCAUGACACAGGGAUGACAGCACUUUCUGGAGGCUUUGCCCGAACACCCCUACUGCGUCCUUAGCACAUUCAUUAGGAUUCCGGGAGCCCAACCCUGCUUUGGCUUUUCGCUUGCACGUUAAAUAUUUGACCACCAUUUCCCACCUGAAAGAAAGAGCUACCUUUAGCACUGGGGACACAGAUACAUUUGGCACAAUAAUGUCUUCUAAGAACUCUCAGGACAACAAAGGAGGUAGACAAGAACCUUAUUGUAUUCGCUCAGCAAAUAUCUGUGUCCCAGGCACUAUGCAGAGGGCUGGGAAUACAAUGAUAGGAAAGCCACAAAUCCAGACUCACAGGAUCGGAGCCUGGCCCUGAAGGGGACGCUGCUGAAAAGAAAAUGCAUUAACGGAUAAUGGCAAACAGUGCUAAAUGCUGUGAAGCAGCAGCUCAGAUGGCUCUGGAAGAGAAUUAGUCUGGUGAGAGGAGGCCAGAAAGGUUUUACUGGAGGAAGAGCAUUUCGCACAAAGACUCGAAAGAGCAGAUGAAGUGCCUGGCCAAAGCGGAGGGGAAGAAGGUUCCAGGCCCGAGGGAAUAUGGCGGUGGCCCUCACCAGGAGCAGUUAGGUUAACCUAGAACCCAACUCUAUUGUACCUUUAGACACAGAGUGGCUUUUGCCUGGUUUUACCAUACAUUGAAUUUUCCUGGAAUGCAAGGACCAUGCCAGUUGAGAGAAGGCUGAGGUGGAUUUGCUUGGGGAUUCACACUGGUCACCCUCCUGGAGGGAGAGCACUGGCAGCAACUCCACUCCACGUGCUGGCGGCACAUGAGCGGUCAACACCCCACACCUAGACCUGCCCGCACGUGGAGCGGUCCCUCUCACCUGUUUCUUCCUGUUCUGCUCAAGCACCUGCCUCCUUCAUUGGGACUUGCAGCAUUAUAAUAUAUAUGGUUUUAUUAUACAUUCCACUUAUUCUUCCUUAUUUGAGAGUUUCAGAAUGACAUGUGUAUGUUUUCAAUCCAAUGAGUAGGUAGGUUAUAUUAUUUAUGAGGUUCAUUUUGGGGUAGACAAAGCAGCCCUGGAUCUGAUGAGGUUAAAACCACAGGUUAAGACCUGCCUUUCGCUGUGGGACAGGGAGUUGGGCUGGUGUAAGAACUACCAGGAGGAAGGGGGUUGGAGCCCAGAGACCUGGGAGCAGGGUGGGACCAGAUGAGGCUGGCAGAGGACUGGGGACAUCACAACCCUCGACUCUGCCGGAGGGGAUGCGAAAAGGUACCAUCUGGUGGUACCUCCGAGGUGCAACAUGGAACAUCACCCGAAACAGCCAGUCCGUUCCUAGGCAUAGACCCAAGAGAAGUGGAAACAUGUCCUGAACACAGAUGUUCACAGCAGCACUAUUCGUAUGAGCCCAAAAGAAGAAACAACUAAAAUGCCCAUCAACUAGUGAAUGCAUGAACCAAAGAGUAGGUUCUUCAUAUAAUGGAAUAUUAUUCAGCCACAGAAAGGAAUGAACUACUGAUACAUACUGUGAUAUGGACGAACCGUGAAAACGCUCUGCUGAGUGAAAGAAGCCAGACGCAAAAGGCCACAGAGUAUGCAGUUCAGUUUACAUGAAAUGUCCAGAAGAGGCAAAUCCACAGAAGCAGAAAGAAGAUUUGGGGUUGCCAGAGGCUGGGGCUGAGGAGGUGAUGGAAAGUGACUGACAGCGGGUCUGGAGUUUCCUUGGCGGGCGAUGGAAAUAUUUUGGACUUAAAGAGUGGUGAGAAUGGUGCGACUUUGUUAAUAUUGUAAGUAAAACAACAUCAACAGUGAUAAAGACUGGAUGGUAUGCCUUAAAGGGGUGACUUUUAAUGGCAUUUGAGUUAGAUCUCAAAUAAAACCAACAGAGGACGCUGAAGAGAUAGACAGGGUCACCGCAUUGGAGGCAUCACGGCCCUAGUCGAAGAGUUUGAUUCUCAACCUCGGACUGGUGGGAGCCACUGACGGUUUUAGGCAUCACGGUGACAAUAUAGUUUUGCAGUUGAGAAAGAUCUCUGUGUAGAGUGGACUAGAGAUGGGCCGCUUCGAAGGCCACAAAAAGCCAGGUAUCUGGAGCCACACCUGGCUUCAGGCUUGAGCAGAAACAGCCCUCAGAGACGCACCCUGCAAUGCGGUUUCACCAGCCAUCCGGGCAACCCGUCGUGCAUUAAGCUUACCACCACCCUGACGCCCGCACGCAGCUCCUUCAACCGCAUUUCCUCGCCUCGUGGAGACAUCAGCCGGGUCUUAACGCCCCCUGACACGGAACCACCGUCCCGCCUCCACCAGAAAACGCCCUGAUCUGACCCCUCCCGUUUCUCACAGCCUCCCCGCGAGGCUUUAGCGCUUCUCCACGGGAGACCGAGGUUCACAGGGAUCUCACGGACUUGACCCAGAAGUCCCACAGCCACACAAGGGCUGGCUGGCUUCUCAUCUCAGGUCUAUUUGAACACAACCACUGCACAAGGUGGGUUCAGGCCAACUCGUAGCGUGAGGACUUUAUUUCACAGUCAGUAAAGUCGUUCCUUCUCUUCCUGCACCAUAAAACUCCUAAA
rnacentral:lncRNA from 1 species